ACCCUAUUAUAAAAAUUCUAAAUUUGGAUUCUAAGGUAGUAUUAGUUAUGUUCUUGAAACUUAAAAAAUUUGGCGGUAUUUUAAACUAUUCAGAGGAACCUGUUCUGUAAUCGAUAAUCCACGAUGGACCUAACUUAAAUUUGUAAAUCAGUUUAUAUAUCGUUGUUAUAAAAAAUUUUUAAAAAAUAAUUAAUUUUUAAUAUUUUUAAUAAAAAUUUAUAUCAAAUCAAGGUGUAGCUUAUAUUUAAGAAGAAAUGGGUUACAAUAAAUUUAUUUAUGGAUAUAAUUAUGAAAAAAUUAUUGAAAAUGGAUUUGAAAGUAAAAUUAUAGAGAUAAAUAAUUUGACUAUAGCUCUAAAAUAUGUACAUAUCGCCCGUCACUCUUGUUAUUAAGAUAAGAUAAGUCGUAACAAA
rnacentral:rRNA from 1 species